ACGUAGGGUGCAAGCGUUAAUCGGAAUUACUGGGCGUAAAGCGUGCGCAGGCGGUUAUAUAAGACAGAUGUGAAAUCCCCGGGCUCAACAUGGGAACUGCAUUUGUGACUGUAUAGCUAGAGUACGGCAGAGGGGGAUGGAAUUCCGCGUGUAGCAGUGAAAUGCGUAGAUAUGCGGAGGAACACCGAUGGCGAAGGCGGCUGCCUGGACCGAUAUUGACGCUGAGACGCGAAAGCGUGGGUAGCAAACAG
rnacentral:rRNA from 1 species